rnacentral:rRNA from 1 species
AUUGAACGCUGGCGGCAUGCCUUACACAUGCAAGUCGAACGGUAACAGGUCUUCGGAUGCUGACGAGUGGCGAACGGGUGAGUAAUACAUCGGAACGUGCCCGAGAGUGGGGGAUAACGAGGCGAAAGCUUUGCUAAUACCGCAUACGAUCUCAGGAUGAAAGCAGGGGACCGCAAGGCCUUGCGCUCACGGAGCGGCCGAUGGCAGAUUAGGUAGUUGGUGGGAUAAAAGCUUACCAAGCCGACGAUCUGUAGCUGGUCUGAGAGGACGACCAGCCACACUGGGACUGAGACACGGCCCAGACUCCUACGGGAGGCAGCAGUGGGGAAUUUUGGACAAUGGGCGCAAGCCUGAUCCAGCCAUGCCGCGUGCAGGAUGAAGGCCUUCGGGUUGUAAACUGCUUUUGUACGGAACGAAACGGUCUGGGUUAAUACCCUGGGCUAAUGACGGUACCGUAAGAAUAAGCACCGGCUAACUGCGUGCCAGCCGCCGCGGUAACAC